UGAUUACAGAGUUUUGUAUUUUAAUUUCUCUUCCUUACAAAGUGAAUCAGUAAUUUUUAGCCACUAAGAUUUGGGCACUGGGGAUUGAGGGGGUGGGGGGAAGAUGACAAAGGGACGGUAAUGUUAUCUGCUAAUGUCAUUGACCCAUCUAUUUUGUAAGGUUGAUGCUGGUGAAGCCGAAGCUUGCCUUACAGAAGCAGCUUUUCAUGAUAUUGUUACGGGAAAUGGUAAUUGAAAAAGGCAGAGGUUACCUUCAAUGAGCUACGGGGUCAUUUAUGAUUGAUAUGCAAUUCUAUUUUCAGGAAUAUUAUGUGGUCUCGCAUCCCAAUAGCUAGCAAUCAAGUGUCUCGCCGGAUAGGUGCUGUAACUAAUUUUCAAUUCUUUUUGUGUUUGAUAUGUAAUUUUAACUAUCAAAUAAAUAAUCCGAUUUAAUUACUCAAUCGGCC
rnacentral:lncRNA from 1 species